rnacentral:lncRNA from 1 species
UAAAAAUGGCAGAUGCAAUAGCAAUAGAUACAGGUUGCUUGGCGACUGCACCAGGCAAAACUUUUUUCAUCCAUAGCAGGUACUUUUGAAAUUCUAUUAUUUUGACUGCAUGUUUUUAGCUAUUAAUUUAUUGCAUUUAUCUUCUCUUGCUACAUAGGGAUAGUAUUUUUUUUGUUGCCAUUCCACUGUUCUUUAUGAUAAAACCACAAUUUCUGUGUUACUAUUGUUGAUAUCACAAUCUGCAGACAUAACAUUUGUUCUGAUAAGGGUUGUUAAAUGGGGCAAUGGGGCAAAACUUGGAAAAUAUAGAUGGUAUGAAAAUGGGUCAAACAGGUUGAAACACACAAUAAGAAGAUGGUUGUUCUCUUAAUCUCUUGUCUUGUAAGAUUGAGGGAUCUCCAAUUGUGGGUGCAAAAAAUAAUUAAUUUGAUGGUGAGCGAUACUUUCAUAAUGGCAGUGGGAAUAUAAUGAUUAUACAACAAAUAAGAUAGAAUUUU